AUUGCCUGGAGCAGCAAGGGCAGGAGGUUGGAACAUUUCACUGUGGCAGGAAAGAACAUAGUAAGGAUCUGGCCACACCGACUUGGGGUGCAAUCCAGGCGGAGGGGAGGAGGGAGACAGUGCAAAGCCAUGGAGACGAGAGAUGAUGUAGGUAUCAUUUGAGAGGAACAGAGAGGGCCAGCCUGGCUAGAGCAGCCAGCGGAAGGGGGAAUGAGGCUGAAAAGAGCCUGAUGACACGUCACAAAGGACUUUAAAAGCCAAAUAGGAGCCUGCCUGGUGAAUCUAGAGGAUACGGAGGGGCAAACAGAUGUCAAGGAAGAAGGGAAAGCUAGUGGACAAAGGGCUUGAAUCGAACAAAGGAAAACAAGAUGUGGGCUCCCAUUCUAAGGAUCGAGGCCCCUGCAGAUUGUGUGGGGCCAGGUUGUGUCAUGGACAGAGUCAGGAGGGCUGGGGUUCAAGUGCUGCCUCUGCCGUGUGCUGUCUGUGAGACCCUGAGCACGUCCU